UACAGAGGUCCCAAGCGUUGUUCGGAUUCACUGGGCGUAAAGGGUGCGUAGGUGGUGAGGUAAGUCGGAUGUGAAAGCUCGGAGCUCAACUCCGAAAUGGCAUUGGAAACUACCUUGCUCGAGGGUUGGAGGGGGGACUGGAAUGCUUGGUGUAGCAGUGAAAUGCGUAGAUAUCAAGCGGAACACCAGUGGCGAAGGCGAGUCCCUGGACAGUUGCUGACGCUGAGGCGCGAUAGCGUGGGGAGCAAACAGG
rnacentral:rRNA from 1 species